rnacentral:lncRNA from 1 species
GUGCGCACCCCUCCCGCCCCGCCGGGCUGGCACCCCGCCUCCGGGGCCCCCUCCUCCGGCAGGGGCGGCCGCGCGCCGCGGAGGACCCCGAGAGGGGCGCCGCGACCCCGGCCGGCCCCGCGCCCUGGCGCGGAAGGGCGGAGGCGGGAGGAAGGGAGGCCGGGAGGCUGCACCCGGGCCCGCCGCGGGACGCUCAGCGCUGCGACACCAGCCGGGCCUCCGGCCGCCUGGGAGGGGAGCUCUCCGGUCUACGCCUUCUGCAUUCCUGCUGUCUUCACUCCUGUCUCCCCUGAUCACCUUACCCUGGACCCCUGCAACAGCCGGUCCUGCCCCGGAGCCCGCUCCCUGCUGCCAGAGAAAUGGCCAAACACAUCACCAUACCCGUGCCCACGCCGUCCGUAGGUGUCCAAACUUAUCUUCUACGGAUGCUGACAUAAGCCCUCUCUGCCCCUUCCUGCCUUCCCCAAGAGCGCACUGGUUAUUGCAUAAUACCAAGACAAAGGCCCUGUCUCUUUAAUUCCUGUGCUGUCCUCCACAAUUGCAGGGCCUCCCUGCCCCCAUCCUGAAAGUAUGUUCUGUUUUAUACAAAGUCUGUAGACAUUGUGCAUGUUAAUUAAAGAGUCAGAGUGAGCAAAGUGCAGGGUGAUCCCCAGUGGAUGGCUGUGUGACCCUGGUCAAAUGACUUAACCUCUCAGAGCUUCUGUUCCUCCUUCUUAAAAUAUGGGAUCUGUUUUACAGGUAAACAGACUGUAUCUGUAGUGCUAAUUGAAACCGUUCACCAAAUAUUUCCUGGUUCUUAACCUCCUGAGGGAUGUGCUAGGCAUCCAUCACCCUAUAGGACUCACUUAGGCCAAUGGAAUGAGACCAGAAGCGAUAUGCAUUGUUUUCACAUAGAAACUUUUAAGGGCCAAUGGGCAAAUCUGUGUGUCUUCUCAAUCCCAAAAAUUCCAUCUUGGCAAUCUCAUGUUGACAACUAUGGAAGUGCAGUGAGAGAGCCUACCCCAGGCACUGUGGCUCUCUAUAGAUGGCAGAGCAGGCCCAGCUAACCUGCAUUAGAAAGCUAGUGUGAGCAAAUUUUAGACUUGUGUUGUAUUAAACCAAUGAGGUUUGGAGGUUGUUUGUUACAACAGCAUAAUGUAGUUUAUUCUGGCUAACAGUGUUGCUCCCAAAUGCCUGGACUUAAUUGGUAUUUGGUGAAUGAAUAGCCCUACCAUAAUCUGAUACUAUUUUAUGAUAGUAAACCCUCCUCUGUAGGAUGGCUCUUAUAUUCCUUAUUUUUAAUUAAGGACACUUUACCCGAAAAAAUAAGUAAUUUGCCUGAGAUUGCACAGGUCAUAAAUAGCAAGGCCAGGACUUAAACCCUACCUGUGCAGUUCCAAAGCUCUUGCUCUUCCUCUUCUACAUAUGCCAUGCUACCUCUCCUUAAAUGGGAAAGAUGGAAACACCCAGUACAAUGCCUGGCAUACAGUCAUACCCAAGCACUGGAAGUUCCUCUCCAGACUGAAUUCCUAUAGCAGUCAUAAUUUGAGCCACACUUCAGCACAAUGUCAUCAUGCAUUGUGCUCAAGUGUUUUCACAUAGAUAAAGCAUUUCCUCCAACAAGAGCCCAGGCUGCCUGAUUAAGAGCUUGAGAUCUGGAGUUAAACUGCCUGAGUUCAAACCCCUAUUCUGCCACUAGUAACUGACCAUCUGGCCAGCUCUUUUCCCUCUCUAUGCCUCCAUUCUUUCAUCUUCACAAUGGUGGUAGCCAUCACAUAGGUGGUAUUGGGGUGCUAGCAAUAAUAUGCAUGUGGGCUCAUGUGAGGAUUAAGGAGUAUAAUAUAUGCACUCAAUAAAUCAUGGCUAUUAAUAUCAUACUUGUUUUUAUUAUACUUAUUCUUCAUCUUGCAUGACUCGUCCUGGCAUUGAGGCAAUUAGAAGCAGUUUAAUCAUAUUACUUACUUGAUUAAACUCUGAUUUCUGGCUUCACUCUCAUUACAUGACAGAGGUAAUAACAUAUGAAGUUGGAAGCAUGACUUCCACACUGCCCUACAACUUAUAUUUACAUAAGAUUCAUUACUUGUUCUUUAUUACACUUUCUAUUUUCAAAGCAAUUUAAAAGAAAGUAUGCUUGCUUUCUUGAGAAAUAUUUGUUCAGAAAACGUAGUAAUACCAGUAUCAUUUAUCCACCAUCUACUGUCUGCCAGGACCUUUAUAUGUAUUACCUCUAAUCAUCAUAAAACUGUGAGGUGGACGUUAUGAUCCCCAAUUGGCUGUGAAGAACAGGGAGCCUCCAGGAGGUUAAGAUGCCUAUGACCAGGCAGUACCUGCCCUGGUCAGAAUUUGAACCCAGUUCUCCGACUCAGGUUUUGCUCCCACCCCUAUUCUAAACUGCCCAACAUCCCAGUUCAUAUCCAUGAAUGCCUAUGCUUUGGUGGGCAUUCAUCUUCUAUUUUUAAAGAUUUUAUUUUUUUAAAUUUUUAUUUAUUUAUGAUAGUCACAGAGAGAGAGAGAGAGGCAGAGACACAGGCAGAGGGAGAAGCAGGCUCCAUGCACCGGGAGCCCGACGUGGGAUUCGAUCCCGGGUCUCCAGGAUCGCGCCCUGGGCCAAAGGCAGGCGCCAAACCUCUGCACCACCCAGGGAUCCCUCAUCUUCUAUUUUUAAACGAGGUUUUGGAAAGUUACCUAAGAAUGUGACUUUUUAUUUUUACUUAUUUAUUUAUUUUUAGCGAGAGAGAGCAUGUACACAUGCGAGUGGUGGUUGGGGAACGGGAGAGAGAGAGAGAAUCUUUAGCAGAGCAGAGCACAGAGCCUGAUGCAGGACUUGAUCCCAUGACCCUGAGAUCAUGACGUGAGCUGAAAACCAAGAGUCAGAUGCUUAACCGACUGAGCCACCCAGGAUUGUGACAUUUCCUGCAUGAGGAUGUUGUCUGGUAGGCACCAUACACUAACAAACAACCUGAGAAGGUAUGUCUUCUUCACUGUGGCAGAAGACUGCUAGCUGACCACCAAACAGUCAUGUGUGUCCUCCUACAGGGGAGCUGAGAGACAGCUGUUCAGCUGGGGAUAUACCUCCUAGCCUCCCUUGCAUCUGAGCCUGGCCACGUGAAUAGUUCUCUCCAGUGGAAUAUGAGCCAAGUGAUUUCACUUCUUCCUAGGCCGAGGUGUUUAGAAAAUGCCUGGUUGGGAGCUGAAGACUCCCAAGCACCAGAGGAUGGCAGAGUCACUAGACAAAAGAAGCCUGUGUCCUUGAAUCACUGUAAGGAAUAAAGCCACCCUCAAAGCAGGACAUUGGACUGGUACAUGUGUGAGAAAUAACCUUCUAUUAAUUCCCUGAAAUUAGAGGGUUUAUUUGUUACAACAGCUAGUCGUGCCCUAACUAAUACACACGCUUACACUAAGUCUGUAUUCAUACAGCAAAAGCCAAACGGAAGACCAUAACAACCAUCUGAAGAGGUGAAACCCAAAAUGCCACUUUUAUGUUUUCCGUCUACUUGCUUACUCCAGGAGAAAGCAGAUUAUUUUGGGCCCGAAUUUUUCUUUUAGUUUUUCCUGGAUUACAUAUACCAGAGAUCAAAUAAGGGCAAUAUCCAACAGCCAUAAAACAGUAAGACAAAUUGCCUCACUCCACAGUAUCUCCUAUUUUCCUACUAUACACCAGGCAUCUGUGGUUGAGGGUACACCAGGAUGUGACAGGCACGAUCUCAUCUUUCUGAGCUCCCAACCUGUGGGUAACAAAAACAAUUUACAGCAUUCAGCUGUACUCAACCAACUGCUGGCCACCACACUUGUGGGGAGAACUCAGGCUAUUUGAAUGUGAAACAGAUAACUGAAAUAAAAGCUAAAAUGUACUCAAGUCAAAACAGAAAGCUCUAUUUCUUCCCCUGCUGAGCAGCUAGAGAAACAGUAAGAAGGGUGGUUAAGAGCUUCAUCUCCAGAAUCAAAACCGACUCAGGGGAAUCUCUGGGUGGCUCAGCGGUUUAGCGCCUGCCUUUGGCCCAGGGCGUGAUUCUGGAGUCCCGGGAUCGAGUCCCACGUCAGGCUCCCUGCAUGGAGCCUGCUUCUCCCUCCUCCUGUGUCUCUGCCUCUCUCUCUCUCUCUACAUCUAUCAAAAAUAAAUAAGUAAAUCUUUAAAAAAAAAAAACAACAACAACAACAACAACUCGGUUCAAAUCCUGGCUCUACCAUUUUCCAAGGUGUGUGAUCUGGGGCAACUUGGUCUUGGUGUCUCCGUUGUCUCAACCUUUCAGAGGAGGACACUAAUAAUGCCCAGCUCAAAAGGUUUUUGUUAAGAAUUGAUUGAGUUAAUGCAAUAAAAAGCACUAAGGACAGCAUGAAAUGGUGGUAGCACCCAAUAAGUGUCAGCUGUUCAUAUGAUUUGCCACCUUCCCUAUUAUACAUUAUAUUCUAUUUUGUGCACAAAAGAGUACAAGAGAAGGCCAGGCACAGAAUCAUAAAUAGAAGCAGUUACUCUUACAAGGGUUCCACUGAAAUAAUCCAGACCGAGUGUUCACUGGCAACAUUUCUCAUCCGUUCGGUGAUUGAGAGGACAGAGGACCCCACUGGAAAGGAAGAACAUCAGUGCGGGCAUCCACCUUAAUAAGGAGACAACCAACAGGGCAAGACAGGCUGUCUGGCCUCUGCUGUUGCCCCUGGGGGUGCCACCUCACGCAGGUGCCUUCAUCUCUUUGUGGAAUGAGAUUACCAGGCGAGAUGACCUCUGAGGACCCUCGGUGCUGACAACUCUCAAUUGGGCAGCCCCGAUGGCGAAGCGGUUUAGCGCCGCGCCGCCUGCAGCCCAGGGUGUGAUCCUGGAGACCCGGGAUCAAGUCCCACGUCGGGCUCUCUGCAUGAAGCCUGCUUCUCCCUCUGCCUGUGUCUCUGCCUCUCUGUGUGUGUGUGUGUCUCUAUGAAUAAAUAAAUAAAAUCUUUAAAAAAAAUGAAGAUUGCAGUUUCACACUCCUUGCAUAUUCCCUCUUCUCCUCCCUCCUUUGCAUAUGUGUGCAGACGAUGGAGCAAGCAGACAACUGCUGGGAGUUCCAUUUGCUUCGUUUUCUCUCUCCUGAACAUUGCAUUGAAAAAUAAAACCCCUUCUCCCUGAGGGGAUAAAACAGUAGGGAUUCAUUGGAAGGUUCCCUUCUAGAGAAAAGAAACUGAAAUGUGAUAAAUUCCCCAUCCGCAGGAGAAGCACUGGCAGGACUCCAGAACGGGGAAGCAACACCUUGCCACCCUGGAAAGGGUGGCUGCCGGAAUGUCGGAAUGUUGAGAGUAAAUAUGUCACAUGCUGGGGUGGUGUGGGGGGAGAAUAACUCUAAUUGGCCAUAAUGGAAGAGACA